GACGAACGCUGGCGGCGUGCUUAACACAUGCAAGUCGAACGGAAAGGCCCUGCUUUUGUGGGGUGCUCGAGUGGCGAACGGGUGAGUAACACGUGAGUAACCUGCCCUUGACUUUGGGAUAACUUCAGGAAACUGGGGCUAAUACCGGAUAGGAGCUCCUGCUGCAUGGUGGGGGUUGGAAAGUUUCGGCGGUUGGGGAUGGACUCGCGGCUUAUCAGCUUGUUGGUGGGGUAGUGGCUUACCAAGGCUUUGACGGGUAGCCGGCCUGAGAGGGUGACCGGCCACAUUGGGACUGAGAUACGGCCCAGACUCCUACGGGAGGCAGCAGUGGGGAAUAUUGCAAAAUGGGCGGAAGCCUGAUGCAGCAACGACGCGUGCGGGAUGACGGCCUUCGGGUUGUAAACCGCUUUCGCCUGUGACGAAGCGUGAGUGACGGUAAUGGGUAAAGAAGCACCGGCUAACUACGUG
rnacentral:rRNA from 1 species